UGAACGCUGGCGGCGUGCCUAAUACAUGCAAGUCGAGCGACCAGACGCGGAGCUUGCUCCUCUGACGUUAGCGGCGGACGGGUGAGUAACACGUGGAUAACCUACCUAUAAGACUGGGAUAACUUCGGGAAACCGGAGCUAAUACCGGAUAAUAUAUUGAACCGCAUGGUUCAAUAGUGAAAGACGGUUUUGCUGUCACUUAUAGAUGGAUCCGCGCCGCAUUAGCUAGUUGGUAAGGUAACGGCUUACCAAGGCGACGAUGCGUAGCCGACCUGAGAGGGUGAUCGGCCACACUGGAACUGAGACACGGUCCAGACUCCUACGGGAGGCAGCAGUAGGGAAUCUUCCGCAAUGGGCGAAAGCCUGACGGAGCAACGCCGCGUGAGUGAUGAAGGUCUUCGGAUCGUAAAACUCUGUUAUUAGGGAAGAACAAAUGUGUAAGUAACUAUGCACGUCUUGACGGUACCUAAUCAGAAAGCCACGGCUAACUACGUG
rnacentral:rRNA from 1 species